rnacentral:rRNA from 1 species
UACAGAGGUCUCAAGCGUUGUUCGGAUUCAUUGGGCGUAAAGGGUGCGUAGGUGGCAUGGUAAGUCGGAUGUGAAAUCCCGGGCUCAACCCCGGAACUGCAUUCGAUACUGCUGCGCUAGAGUACUGGAGAGGAGAUUGGAAUUUACGGUGUAGCAGUGAAAUGCGUAGAUAUCGUAAGGAAGACCAGUGGCGAAGGCGGAUCUCUGGACAGUUACUGACACUGAGGCACGAAGGCCAGGGGAGCAAAACGGG